GUGGCCGCGCCCUGGCCGGAGGUGGCCGGAGCAGGCCGGCCCCCUCGCCGCCCCUCUCCUGCUCUGCCUCUGCUUCACGCGAGGAACAGGGCGAGCGGGAGGAAGGGGACGAGCGCCCGUGGCCCCUCCAGCUGGCCAGGCGGGCCCCGCCCCCCUCUUGACCCCACGUGUCAGUGAGCCUGGAGCCGGCCCCGCGUUGACCCGGUCCGCUGACAUGGCUAAGUGGAGACGUAAUUACGUGAGUACAUUUUCAUCCCUCGAAAGCGUAUUUCUCAUUUUACUCCUCUACCUUAUCCACUCAAGGACCUGUUUGCUGAAGAAAUAUUCACGGAUUGGUCCCUGAUCUUCAUCACCUUAUAUCUCCGCAACCGUAACUCCAAAUGAGGUGAUUCCAAAGCCUACUUCUUCAUCUCGUCGAGCCCUUUAUGUUGGUGUCACUUUCAUUAUGUUUUGGCAUUCUGAAAAUGACAUUUUCAACCUUGCACGUAAACAGCCCCUCCGAAAGAGAACUUUUUCCGGCAAAUCUUUCCACGGCUUCACCGCACUUCUCCCCGGUGCCUUCUUCAUCCCCAUGCAAGCCACAAUACCCACUUGCAUGAUAUUCAUGCAGUAGCCAUGGUUUUAAACUUGAAUAUUUAAUAAAUGUUUGCUUGUUGAAAAGAUGGUUAUCAUUGUCACGGUGAUGUUUAGAUUUGCAUGUUCACUUUUGUGGUAUGUUGUCUUGUACUCUGUUAUCAUGUUCUACCUGCUAGUAUUUCCUUUCAUAUGUUUAUGCUUGCUAGUAGUACAUGUUGAUAUUGGUGAUGGUCUUCGGUGUGUGACUGCCGUCUGUCCCGAGUACCACUAUUAUGCAUGUUCCAUUGCAUCCAGUUGGUUAAAUGCUUGCGUGUCAUGGCAUUAUGACGCCGAUUUUUUUCACUUUAAGUUGAACCUGAUAAUAACUCACCUUGAAUAUGUUGUUGCCCGGGUCAUGGUGCCACUGAAACGAGUCUUUCCCAGUGCAACCACAUUUGCCGGUAUGGGACGGCCUUAAUUCGGUUCAUUGUCGUGCCUCUGGUCGGUGCCUCCAUCUAGGGAAGGUUAUGGGCAUGCUGUACCCUGGCCCGGUAAGCAAGCAUAACAUUGUGUGCCCGUUGUUAAGUUUUUGGAUCCGGGUCCCAGAGUGGAUCGUGGCCACGAUGGUGGUCGAGGUGUCAUGAGGUAGACACGGGGCCACCCAGGACUAGCCCGAUGGGGAUUGAGUCGGAGUGGCCGGGAGAGUGUCGUGGCAAUGAAGUGGUUUCAUCGGAAUGUCGUUGGUCCACCCGAAUGGGAAUGCGAGGCCAUGGGUUCCGUAGUGUGGGUCCAGUGUGCUACCUCUGUAGAGUGUAUUAAUCUAUCGAUAGCCGAGUCCACGGUUAAGGACACGCUCAAAAGUAGGGUACACCAUGGGUCAACACUUAAUAAAUUUGCACAUUAAGUAUGCACUAAGGUGAUGGCAGAAAGGCCAUCAUGUUGAGUUGGACCAGAUGUGGUCAUGGUUGUGAUCGCCAUAAGGAUCAUGGGCCAUUUAUUGGUCGGGUUAUGAUCGCCGUCAGGAUCACGGGCCAUUUAUUGGUCGGGUUGUGAUCGUCGUAAGGAUCACGGGCCAUUUAUUGGUCGAGUUGUGAUCGCCGUAAGGAUCGCAUGCCAUUUAUUGGUUGGGUUGUGAUCGCCGUAAGGAUCACAGGCCAUUUAUUGGUCGUGGUUGUGAUCGCCGUAAGGAUCAUGAGUUUGUCUCUAUGUUCAUCAUGUUUGUGAUCUGGAAAUGAUCAUGUUUGGUAAGCCAGUCCAGUGGACGAGUACUACUUGAGCAUAGUCACAACAUGUUGGAUAUAUUGUUGCAUGCUACUAUUGUCGGAUUCAUUUGUUCAUGCCAGGUUCAUGUUGUUCUAGCUGUAUCAUGUUCAUGUUGAUGCCAUGUUGCUAUGAUGAUAUCAUGUUAAUUUCUGGUUAACCUGUAAUUGCCAUGUUGUUGUUUGUCUUGAAUGCUUCUAGUUAUUGUGAGCUUGCAAGUACAUUCAAUGUACUGACCUGGCGUGUCAUGCCAGUUUGCAGGUCAUUCCGGAUUUGAUUGCUUGUUUGCCGUGGAGUCCAUCUUUGCGAGGUAUGAUAAGCGUUCCAGCCAGAGUCCCUGAGGAGUGGAGUUCACCACCGUCGUUGUUGUUCUGCUAUUAGAGUUCUUCCGCUGCAUCGUGUUGUUCUGCUGCUUGCAUAGAGCAACAGUGGCAAGCGUAGUGUCGCCAUGCCGAUGUAACCCUUGUACCCAAAUAGAUUGUAAUAAAGAGCAGGUUUGUUCUAUGCUAAGAAGUGUCGUAUUCCAGAAGACUUCAUCUCGAUCUCUAGGCUGGAAUAUGGGGCGUUCCGGUUUUCUCUGAGCCGGGGUGCCACAAGCUUGGUAUCAGAGCAGGUCUAGCUGUAGGACACCCUAGACCGCGUGAACGUUAGAAAGUGGUAGUAUAGACCCCAAUUGGUUUGUUGCACUUGAUUGCUGCAUUUUUUGUCGCAUAGCAUGCAUAUAGAUUAUUAUUUAG
rnacentral:lncRNA from 1 species